ACCUUAUAAUUCANUUAGAGCAAAGCAUUCAUUUAGAUUUGAAUGGAAAUCACCCAUUAAUUCAGAAAACUUCAGUCUAUGUAAAUCAACCAGAAAUAAUUUUUUAUGAAAAUCUUUCAAUUAAUGUAAUACAUGCAUUACUAUUUCCAAGAGUACAAACAAAUGAAGAUGAAAUUAAAACACAUGAAAAUUUUUCAGAAGUUUCAUCUCAUUCUAAAGAAAUUAAUUUUUCUAAAAUUCCACUGGUA